rnacentral:rRNA from 1 species
AGUGAACGCUGGCGGUAGGCCUAACACAUGCAAGUCGAACGGCAGCACAGUAAGAGCUUGCUCUUACGGGUGGCGAGUGGCGGACGGGUGAGGAAUACAUCGGAAUCUACUUUUUCGUGGGGGAUAACAUAGGGAAACUUACGCUAAUACCGCAUACGACCUACGGGUGAAAGCAGGGGAUCUUCGGACCUUGCGCGAUUGAAUGAGCCGAUGUCGGAUUAGCUAGUUGGCGGGGUAAGGCCCACCAAGGCGACGAUCCGUAGCUGGUCUGAGAGGAUGAUCAGCCACACUGGAACUGAGACACGGUCCAGACUCCUACGGGAGGCAGCAGUGGGGAAUAUUGGACAAUGGGCGCAAGCCUGAUCCAGCCAUACCGCGUGGGUGAAGAAGGCCUUCGGGUUGUAAAGCCCUUUUGUUGGGAAAGAAAAGCAGCAGGUUAAUACCCCGCUGUUCUGACGGUACCCAAAGAAUAAGCACCGGCUAACUUCGU